AGUAGCCAACAAUCAUAUCCAUCAAAUAAAAUAUAAUAAUAAAGUUCAAUUCUAAUUAUUCAUUAAGUAAUUAAAUUGAGACUAGUUCUAAGUAUCUAAAUCCAAAGUCAAAUAUCAAAUCCAUAUCUCAAAAUUCAUAAAUAGCUAACUACAAGUCCAUAAUCAUCCAACAAACUAAAUCCAGCUAUAGAAUUUUUGAGUUUGCUAGUGCUCACCCCCA
rnacentral:lncRNA from 1 species